GGUAGGAUGCCCGAGUGGCCAAAGGGGGCGGACUGUAAAUCCGCUGGCGGAUUGCCUUCGGUGGUUCAAAUCCACCUCCUACCA
rnacentral:tRNA from 1 species